ACUACAGUGUGUGCAUAGUUUCCAUCUGUGUCUGGUAGCAUAGUCUGUCUGUGUUUUGCAUUCAGACUUGCUAUUCACACAAAAUCAUGUAGCCAAAAACCAACUUGGGAUCAUAGUACUGGUCUAGUGUUGUCUGUUUGGACACACCUACCACUGGCCAGCCUCCAAAUUCCCGCACACAG